rfam:Xanthomonas oryzae pv. oryzae KACC10331, complete genome.
AUGUGCCACGCGUACACCGCGGUUCGUGCGCGCCGUCCAGGGCUGCCCGCUACGUUUUGUUGGCC